UGAGUAACAUGUAGGUAUCUGCCCUUUGGCCUGGAAUAACACGAGGAAACUUGUGCUAAUACCGGAUAAGUCUUUACGGAGAAAGCUUUAUGCACCAUUGGAUGAGCCUGCACUUGAUUAGUUUGUUGGUGGGGUAAUGGCCUACCAAGACUGUGAUCAAUAGCUGAUUUGAGAGGAUGAUCAGCCACAUUGGGACUGAGACACGGCCCAAACUCCUACGGGAGGCAGCAGUGGGGAAUCUUGCACAAUGGAGGAAACUCUGAUGCAGCGAUGCCGCGUGAGUGAAGAAGGCCCUUGGGUUGUAAAGCUCUUUCGUCGGGGAAGAAAAUGACUGUACCCGAAUAAGAAGGUCCGGCUAACUUCGUGCCAGCAGCCGCGGUAAUACGAAGGGACCCAGCGUA
rnacentral:rRNA from 1 species